UUCGGGGCGCUCGCCCGGCCGAACCGGAGUUAGUGGGGUGAGGGCCGGACGCUAUCCCGAGGACCGACCUGGGGUGGAGGCGUUUCCCGGAGAACGCCUAGAAGCGUCCCAGCCACGAAGGGGCUGCUCGGGCUUCCCAGCAGGUUCUAGCGCUGGCGUGUUUUGGAUUCGAAUCCAAUUCCGUCUAAACAGAAAUCUCGGAUCACCUUGGAGCCGUUCCCUCCUCUUUCGACGUUUUUUCCAGCCCACCGCUUGGAAACUUGGAGUGCAGGAAAAUACCAAUGGGUCUUUCUGUGAAGGCAUUAAGAAUCUCAAAGGAGAUUUCAGCUACUUACUCAGUCAUCAGGUAAAGCUGAAGGAUUUCUAUAACCAAACCUUUGGACUUUGCCAACAUUCACACACAAUAGAAGCCUUCGGAGGUUAUCUGGGGACUGAGCUGAGCUCUCCUCAUCACAGAGAUAACUAGCUUUAAAUUUUGCCUAAUCUAUGUGAUAUGCUGUAUUGGUAACUAUCGUUACGAAAUAGUCAAGACAAGGAUUGACAAACUGAAAUUCAAACCGGACAAGAUGGUUGGUGAGUGAUCUGCCCAGGUUCAUAUUUUUCCUGGAGGAUCCAUUCUCUGAAGUAGAAGGCAAGACAGAAGAGAAGGUCCUGGAGGCAUCUGCAGCUUUCAGUGGAACAGGAAAAGCAACGUUGAAUUGGCAACAGUUCUAGAUCGGUUCUCUCCUCUCCUCCCUUGAAAUGCAUCUGAAUCUUGAUCCAACAGAGCAUCUCCUUAUGAUGACAUUUUACAGCCUAUUGGCAUUCAAAGGAAAUACGAAGACAAUCGGAUUGAGGUCCUGGCACUAACCAUGCAGUCACCAUGAUGUUUAUUCCCGGCUUGGACUGAACCAGGAUGAAGACUUUUCCUUCCAGCAAAGCCAAGGUAUUAAUGCCUACUACAUUUCUGAUGGCAAGCAAAGAAUGAAAUAGGCUGAUUCCUCAUCUACGUUCAGGCCGACCUGCUUAAUAGUUGGAAAGGAGACCAUCACGAAAUAUUAGAACUAUAGGAUUGCCUGGGAAGUUGAAGAAUAUCCAUCAGGAAGAUGAUGGGAACCCACUAAUGCACUGCUGCCAACAUGGAAAUAGUGUGGGAUGAAGCUUUAGGUUGCAACCACAAAUGACCAGCUAAUAGACUGAUCUCUUGACCCCGCAUGGAAAAUCACCUGCUCAGUUGUCUGCAACUCCCAGCCCUCACAGAUGACCAAGAAAAAAAUACCCUGGGCAAUAGUAUAGAAUAUCACCUAGAAUUUUCAAAAGACAAGAAUAGAAGCACAUUUUAAAAACCAAGUGACAGUUAAGAUCACCUUUCAGAGUAACCAAAACUUUUUUUGUCCCAUGGCCUGUUCUGAAUCCAUCUUAAAAGUGGUUUAUCACUGAGUUAGGAUUAGAAUUGUAUUUUUAAAGUGUAAAUCUCUGCAGUGAGUUCAUACCUUACACUUCUAUCUAAAUUCCUAACAAUGAGCUCUUCCACAUUCAGGAAGAGGUAGCAUCAUUCUUUGUGUAUACGUUCUCUCUUUUUGUGUUCUCCAACACUAUUACAGUACAACAUGUUUCGUUGCACAGUCCCAAAGUAACAAAAUUAUAGUCUGUUGUUUCUUUAACAGCAGGGACUAACAGAAUUUAAGCCUUCUUCAGCUACCAACUAAUAAACACCUCGAAGGCCAAGGAGACAUCACCCUUGAGAGUAUACCUUCUAUUGUGAUUCAGUUUAGACAGCUAGGAUCCCUGGGAAAAUUGCAUGCAUUCUUGCUGGGUGGAGAUAUUUUGUGUGAAUCCAUGCAGCCCAUCAUCUGAAAUACAAACAUGUUGUACUACAUUCCAAGCAACGUACCAAUAUUAUUUGCAGCCAAUUUAAGAAAGAUGCUUAACCAAGGAUAUAAUAAAGUCAGUGGUAAAGCAAAUAACACUGUACAUUGAAUUGAAGUAACUUCUCCAGGGUAGCUUGACCAGUUUAGCUAGUAUUCAAGUAGCUAAGCUGGUGUUGAGUAAUGCACUAGUACCAGUGUGGCAAAUUAUUACAUUUUGUAGAAAUAACUGACAUAAAAAAGCAAUAACAAUUUUGCAUUACUAUUAUGUAUAAUAGUUUUAGUGUUGGGAUUUUGAUAGGGGAAGAUUCUUCUUUACAAAAUCAGGAUUUUUGGGAGAGAUGAAUAUUGUGGGGAAAACUUUUGAUAUUUGAGAAAUGUCCUUUCAGUGCCAGAUACCCUUCCCCCUCCUAAAUCUAAAAACAUUUAAAUGUGGGUCUGAAGUUUGAAGGCAAUCUUGAAAACAUCUAGAGAACCUAUGAACAUUGGGUACUUUGGCCAUCUUUUGAGGAAACUGCCCCCAGCCACGAUGAGGGAGAAUAAUCCAAAAAAUGCAGGGGAAUUUCUGGAAGCUUGGCACUCUAAUUAGCCCUCAAUAGACACGGACAUAAACAAAAUAUACUAUGUAAAAGAGACAGUCAACAAGCCAAAUGGGAACAAAAACAUCAAAACAUCCACCCACCAGCAAUCAAUACCCAGAUGAAUAUACAUUAACUCCAAGAUUAACAUCAGACCAACAUUCAAGUAAACAAUACCCCAAGCAAGGAACUGCCAAACUAGCCAACAAUAAACAGCCUAGCCCAGGGGUAGGCAACUUUGGUUCUUUUAUGACUCGUGAACUUCAACUCAGGAAUUCUGGGAGUUGAAGUCCACGAGUCAUAAAAGAGCCAAGGUUGCCUACCCCUGGCCUAGCCAAAGAAACUCUAAGACCCCCUACCCACACGGACAGGGCAAACCACCAGAAUAGAAACUGAGAGCAAACCUCAUUACUUAAUAGCACUGAUGAUGUUACCUAGUUUGAGUAACGAAACGUCUGCAAGAAAACAACCAAGCUCGGAGACCACCAAGGUCCCCUCAUUUCAACCCCGAGCUACAAAUAUUCUAUUAUCAUCAUCAUCAUCAUCAUCGUUUUAGCCAUUGUCUACCCAUUGCAGGAUGAAGGCCUCUUUCACAUGUUUCCAACCAAUAUGGUCCUGCGCUUCCUUUUGUCAUUUGGGGCCACAAUACUUGCUAAUGUCAUUAUCUUUUAUUGAAGCAGAAUAGUAAGACUUAUGGGGGGAAUAGGAAAACUGAAAAUGCACAUGUAAAUAAUGCUGUCUGUUUCUUGGAAAUGAAUAAAGCUAUUUGCCAAAAAUAAAUAAUUUCCAGUGUUCACAUGGAAUUCAUCUGAAAAGCAAUAAACUCUGAAAAGCAAUAUUGGUGUGAUA